AGACGUGGAAACUGUGGUGGCCGAUCUGGUGAAGCUGAUCCACAGCGCGGGCGCUGAGAGCCGGAGCAAGGCUGUGCGUCCCAAGGCACUGCUGGACAACUGCCUCAAGGUCAUGCGGAUGCUCUACGGGGUGCCCUGUCGGUGGGAGUCCACCUAACAGUGUGGAAGGUCCUUCACUCAACCCCUCACUGGACACCUGCUUGCCCUGGAGCCUUGGAUGCUGCCUCUGUUCUGCUCCUCCCAGAGCCCCGUGGUGGGUUCCCAAGGAAGCUGCAAAGGUGGGACAAAUGCCACUCCUUCCAGGACCAAACACAACCCUUUCCAGAACUGUGGGACUGUUUAUGGCUGUGGGAUCUUGUCCAUCCGAAAUGUCUGCCACCCUUUGCAUGGGUGUGGGCUCAGACACAGCCCCCUGUGGCAGGCAGCUGUUGGGGGGACACACAGCCCUCCCUGCCCACAGGCAGGUGAGGGCAUCACCCCGUUUCUCUCCAUUUGUAUUUUUUCCUCAGCUUUGAUUAAACACCAGUUAAUUCUGUAGCAUUGCAGCUCAGCUUCCGACUGGGUCCUGGGAUCCUCCAGCCUUACCCGAAAUAAAGGACCAGCAAAGAGAA